rnacentral:rRNA from 1 species
CUACGGGUCGCAGCAGUGGGGAAUAUUGGACAAUGGACCAAAAGUCUGAUCCAGCAAUUCUGUGUGCACGAUGACGGUUUUCGGAUUGUAAAGUGCUUUCAACAGGGAAGAAGUUCUGACGGUACCUGUAGAAGAAGCGACGGCUAAAUACGUGCCAGCAGCCGCGGUAAUACGUAUGUCGCAAGCGUUAUCCGGAUUUAUUGGGCAUAAAGGGCAUCUAGGCGGCUUAGUAAGUCUGAUGUGAAAAUGCGGGGCUCAACUCCGUAUUGCGUUGGAAACUACUAAGCUAGAGUAUUGGAGAGGUAGGCGGAACUACAUGUGUAGAGGUGAAAUUCGUAGAUAUAUGUAGGAAUGCCGAUGACGAAGGUAGCCUACUGGACAAUUACUGACGCCGAAGUGCGAAAGCUAGGGGAGCAAACAGGAUUAGAUACCCUCGUAGUC